GAUUAUGGGCACCAGGCUUCACCCUCAACGACCUUGUUCCAACACCAGCGAACGUGGCCGUUUUCAGGGGUCUGCUGGGACCAGGUGGUUUCAACCGUCUCUACCAAAAUGUCCUUCCAGCAAUGGAACCGCUUUUACCCGUGUGGCCCAAGACCCUCCCGGACCCCAUUCUGCUCCUGGAGAUUCGCCCUUCCCCCCCCCCCCAGAGCACCGCCAGGUAUCAGCUGCAGAGUUGCAGACUUUGCGCUCCCCUGAGAAGCCUGAGUGAAUUGAUGGAAGGAUCCGUGAAAACAUCUGGGGGAAGAGCCUUCCAGGUGGAGAAGCGAACAUGCAUAUGCAUUUCUGUCGACGAGGCGUCAGAUAGUGGACUUGCCAAGUCAUAGAUGUGUAUACAGUUACCUUUAAUGGACACUGACAAACACCUUUGCGAAGUCACUGUACCAAUGUGCCAUCCCACCAGCAGUGUGUGAGGUUUCCUAGUACUCCACAUACGUUUUUGUAGUUUUUUAUCUUUUUUAUUUUAACUGUGUUGGCACCUGCAGUCAACCUUGGUCCAGAAGCCCAUGAUCCUCUUUCUGAUGUAUCCUCAGAAGGUCAUUAGUAGCCUAAUGCUACGUCACAAUGCAUACGUCAUCUACCACACUUCAUCUUAUCAUGUAGGCGUUUGAUAGUCUCACAUCAUGGCAGGAAGGGAAACUGAAAUGCAGAAAAGAUAAGGAAUACAAAGCUUUCACCACUAAUGAAUGCAGAAUUGGGCUUGUGACUUAACAGCUAACAUAUAAACAUCAUAGUUCUUACUACUGGUGGUCAUGAAGACAAGCACUGGAAGAGGCAUAUUUAAAACUGAGCAAAACCAGACAACACAAGGAGAAUGUAAACUAGAAAACAUGAAUCAGCUCUUAUUACGGGAAUCACAACAGGAACAGAAAAUGGCACAUUGAUCAUCUACUCUUGAGACAAUGGCUAAACUGAGAGCCGAAGCACCACAAAAGCAACUUCCUUCUUCCUGCAAUUGGCUGCAUGUAUCUAUGAACAAAGUGAAGAAUAUGAGAAGGCAACUCAGAAAUGAAUUCAACAUCAAAGACCAGCCUCGCUGUUUAUUUAGAACCCACGUCAUGCAUGACUCAGGGGCAAGAAGGCACAUCCAGCCAGAAACUACGCACACCUCUUCAUGGAGAAGCACUAACUGGAUGGAGCAAACACAUAACUGUCGUCCAACACGACUGUGUAAGAAGGUGUGAGACCAUGCUGAAGUUACCCCUAUGAGUUACAAGCCACGGCUAAUGGAAACGUAAACCUCAAGAGGAAGCUGUCAGACAAGCAGGCACCAUUGACGAUGCAGGUUGGCUUGAAAUUUCCUGGAAGCAGCUCCUUCCUCCUUUAGUAAAACGCUGCCCUGGGCACUGUGACCUUAAUGGAACCAUGAAAGUAACAAGGCAUUAAACAAAUCUCGGACUGGAAAAGUGAGAGAUGGCGAAAAUAUUCAAGUUAAUCAAAUCCACCUAAUGAUACAUUCGAGCGGCGUAAACCAGUUUCUCCAAGCCUUGUGCCCCUCCAGCUCCUGAGGUUUUGCUCUGGCAUUCUGAAGAGAACGGAAGAAAAUAGCAAGCAAUGGGGCACCUGGGCAGCUCAGUCGGUUAAGUGUCUGACUUCGGCUCAGGCCAUGA